GUGCUAUGAUGCAUCAGUUUCACCCGAAAUCACUGUGGGUUGAAAUCCGAGCUUUUUAACACUGAGUCACA
rnacentral:snoRNA from 1 species